AGAUAAGGUAUGGAAGCAGUCUGAUUAUUUCCACUUGAGUCGACUUAAGUCUUUCUCUCCUCGUACAGUCUUGGCUCUAGUAAAGAGAAAGAAUCUCUCCCUACCCUACUGCGGGAAAAAGCACUUUCUAUCCCCCCGUGCUACAAAACAAACAAACUUAUCUAAGCACUAAAAGCAACAAUAAGGAAUGGAAUGGGAGAAGCUAUAGUGCAGAUCACUUUUCACUUUCUCGUCAGUCCAGACCUUGU
rnacentral:lncRNA from 1 species